UUGAGCAUCAAACUUUUAAAUUGAAGAGUUUGAUCAUGGCUCAGAUUGAACGCUGGCGGCAGGCCUAACACAUGCAAGUCGAACGGUAACAGAAAGCAGCUUGCUGCUUUGCUGACGAGUGGCGGACGGGUGAGUAAU
rnacentral:rRNA from 1 species